UACAGAGGUCUCAAGCGUUGUUCGGAUUCAUUGGGCGUAAAGGGUGCGUAGGUGGCAUGGUAAGUUGAAGGUGAAAUCUCGGGGCUCAACUCCGAAACUGCCUUCAAUACUGCUGUGCUCGAGGACUGUAGAGGAGAAUGGAAUUCCCGGUGUAGCGGUGAAAUGCGUAGAUAUCAGGAGGAAUACCGGUGGCGAAGGCGAGUCUCUGGUCCGCUUCUGACGCUCAUGUGCGAAAGCUAGGGGAGCAAACGGG
rnacentral:rRNA from 1 species